CAGAAAUUCCCUGGCUGUGUGAUUUUGGGCAAGUCACUUCACCUCUGUGUGCCUAGGAGGCAAAUAGGGGGCUGAGGGGAUAGAGUGUUGCAUCUGGAGUCAGGAAGACUUGGUUGUAAAUCUGAACUCAAGCGCUUCCUAAUUGUGUGACUCUGGUCAGUCAUUUAGCCUCUGCUAGCCUAACAAAAAUAAUUCACUGGAGAAGGGAGAGGCAAACUAUUCUAGUAUCCUUGCCAAAAAAAGCCUCAUGGACCAUUGCUUUACCCAUACAAUAACCCACAUAAUAACUGUGGGAUUCUGGGACCUUUAAGCUUAGUUCUGAAAGCUUAGAAUAUAAAGUCCUUAACGUCAGACUAUCUCUUUUUUGUCUUUUGUUGAAUUUCUAGAGUUGGCACCUGAAAAAUAUAUGAAAUGAUUUCUAGCUAUGUGACAUUGGAAUGGCACCCUCAUCUGCCCUUUUAUAUUGUCCUUUCUCAUGAAGAACCCAGCAGCUCUUUUCAGUCAUCAGAGGAGAACCUGGACUUGGCUAUCUUUUUUAAGUAGCUGGAUGUCAAAGCAAGAGUUGGGAGCUAAGAAUAUUGGAAUGCUGAAAAAGGCCAGUCUAGAGGUUGUCAGCACCCACUGGACAGUUUAUCUAUCUUCAUCCACUUCUGGUAUUUACCUAUACACUAUCUGUUAACUCUAAUUAAGAAAGCUCAAACAUUUAUUAAGUACUUGCCAUGUCCCAGGCACUGUGUUCAGUAUUCAGAAUCAAAAUACAAAUACAUUUUUAAAAGACAGUCCUUACCCUCAAGAAGCUGACAUUUUAAUAAAAGAAGAGAACAAAUAAAAGGGAGGGAGCUG
ensembl:lncRNA